UGCAACAAUUGUUACUUUAACAAACUGUGGGCACUUUCUUACAGAAUCAGCUCAACUAACUGAGUCUGACAAUAGUGCAGUGCCGGAGUUUAUUGAUCAAAAUCAAAAGCAAUGUCAGAUUAUUAUCAUCAUAUCUGCUCUGAUGAAUGGACUUCUGCUCAUUGUGCUGAUCGGAGUAGUAAAAGUUAUUGUUGGUGGAAAAAGAAGGUCUACAGAACGAUCACAACAACUCAACACUGAUCGACAACAGACUCAAGUUAUAGAACAACAUCAGGACCCAAACCAAUUACAGUACGCUGAAGUCGAUUUUACCAAGCUGCG